GUGGGGAAUCUUCCGCAAUGGACGAAAGUCUGACGGAGCAACGCCGCGUGAGUGAUGAAGGUCUUCGGAUUGUAAAGCUCUGUUAAUCGGGACGAAAGAGCCUAGUGUGAAUAAUGCUAGGAAGUGACGGUACCGGAAUAGAAAGCCACGGCUAACUACGUGCCAGCAGCCGCGGUAAUACGUAGGUGGCAAGCGUUGUCCGGAAUUAUUGGGCGUAAAGCGCGCGCAGGCGGAUCUGCCAGUCUGUCUUAAAAGUUCGGGGCUUAACCCCGUGAUGGGAUGGAAACUUCAGAUCUAGAGUAUCGGAGAGGAAAGUGGAAUUCCUAGUGUAGCGGUGAAAUGCGUAGAUAUUAGGAAGAACACCAGUGGCGAAGGCGACUUUCUGGACUGUAACUGACGCUGAGGCUCGAAAGCCAGGGGAGCGAACGGGAUUAGAUACCCGGGUAGUCC
rnacentral:rRNA from 1 species